rnacentral:rRNA from 1 species
CAGUAGCCGCGGGAAUACGAAGGGGGCUAGCGUUGCUCGGAAUUACUGGGCGUAAAGGGCGCGUAGGCGGACAGUUCAGUCGGGGGUGAAAGCCCGGGGCUCAACCUCGGAAUUGCCUUCGAUACUGGCUGUCUUGAGUAUGAGAGAGGUGUGUGGAACUCCGAGUGUAGAGGUGAAAUUCGUAGAUAUUCGGAAGAACACCAGUGGCGAAGGCGACUCUCUGGUCUGUAACUGACGCUGAGGAGCGAAAGCGUGGGGAGCGAACAGGAUUAGAUACCCCAGUAGUCCCUGUCUCUUAUAC